rnacentral:rRNA from 1 species
UACAGAGCCUCGAGCGUUAGGCGGAAUCACUGGGCUUAAAGCGCGUGUAGGCGGACUCUUAAGUGUCUUGUGAAAUCCCACGGCUCAACCGUGGAACUGCUGGGCAUACUGGGGAGUCUUGGGCCCACUCAGGGGCGACCCGGAACAAGCGGUGGAGCGGUGAAAUGCGUAGAGAUCCGGAAGAACACCGGUGGCGAAGGCGGCCGUGCUGGGCAGUUGCUGACACUGAGGCGCGACGAGCCGUGGGGAGCAAACAGG